GGAGUUAGCCGGUGCUUCUUCUGUGAGUGAUGUCCUUCCUGCCGGCUAUUAACCCGCAGGCCUUCUUCCUCACUGAAAGUGCUUUACAACCCGAAGGCCUUCUUCACACACGCGGCAUGGCUGGAUCAGGGUUGCCCCCAUUGUCCAAUAUUCCCCACUGCUGCCUCCCGUAGGAGUCUGGGCCGUGUCUCAGUCCCAGUGUGGCUGAUCAUCCUCUCAGACCAGCUACGGAUCGUCGCCUUGGUGAGCCGUUACCUCACCAACCAGCUAAUCCGACAUAGGCUCAUCCGAUAGCGCGAGGCCCGAAGGUCCCCCGCUUUCCCCCGUAGGGCGUAUGCGGUAUUAGCCUGGGUUUCCCCAGGUUAUCCCCCACUACCGGGCAGAUUCCUAUGCAUUACUCACCCGUCCGCCGCUCGCCACCAGGGAGCAAGCUCCCCGUGCUGCCGCUCGACUUGCAUGUGUUAGGCCUGCCGCCAGCGUUCAAUCUGAGCCAGUGACUAACAACUCGUACGUACGUAGACGGGCGGGUCGUCGGACGAACGGGCCGACUAGUAG
rnacentral:rRNA from 1 species